UGAUGGAAACGAGCAAGUGGCACUCCACGCACUGAUAAGAUAUGGCUCUCGCUCGGAGCUCCAUACGGCUAGGCACACUAAGUGUUUUCUAUUCUACUUAUACACCAAGCAAGCUACCUUUAAUUAAGGAGAUCGAGAGUUGGCUAGCUUCCUAGAGAGAGAGAGAGAGAGAGAGAGAGAUGCAUGAUAUGGAGUCUCUCCCUGUGCCCAGCGUUCAGGCGAUGGUGGCGGCCACCGGUGGAGCCCAUGUGCCGCCAAGGUAUCUCCGGCCAGAGGUGGCCGCCGAUGCUGUGGCUAGCGAAGGCGAGGCCGCGAUACCCAUCAUUGACUUUGAGAGGCUGCUGCUGGAGGAGGAGGCGGCGGCGGCGGCGGCGGCUUCUUGUCGCGUUGAAUCUGCACGCCUCCAUGCGGCCUGCCAGGAGUGGGGCUUCUUCCAGCUCAUAAACCACGGAGUUCCGGAUGACGUCAUCCAGGGGAUGAAGGCCAACAUUGAAGCAUUCUUUGGGUUGCCUGCAGAGACGAAGCAGCAGUUUGCUCAGGAACGAGGCCAGCUGGAGGGCUACGGUCAGCUGUUCGUGGUGUCGGAGGAUCAGAAGCUGGACUGGGCUGACAUCCUCUAUCUGAAUACGCAGCCGCCUGAGCACCGGAACACGAGAUUCUGGCCUGACAAGCCCGAUACCUUGAGGUCGACACUGGACGCAUAUUCUGCUGCCGUAAAGACUGUAGCGGAUCGCCUUCUGGCUAUUAUGUCCAGCAACCUCGGGUUGCCACCGGAGGUGGUUGCUAGCAGAUGCAGCGGUGGCGGAAUGCAGUCGGUGAGGAUCAACUACUAUCCUCCCUGCGCCGAGGCAGACAAGGUUGUGGGCUUCUCCCCACACUCGGACGCUGAUCUCCUCACCCUGGUCCUGCAAGUGAACCAGGUCCAAGGUCUGCAGGUAAAGCGCCAAGAUGGUACCUGGGUUCCUGUGCGGCCUCUGGAUGGCGCUUUUGUUGUCAACGUUGGAGACAUUCUUCAGAUCUUCACAAAUGGAAGGUACCGGAGCAUAGAGCACCGUGCCGUGAUCAACGCGGAGAGCGCGCGCCUGUCCGUUGCAGCAUUCCACUCACCGAACAUCCAUGCCACGAUUGGCCCUCUUCUAACAGUGACAGACGGUGGACCACCAGAGCUUCAUGAGGCUCUUCUUCUCUGCCAAGCUGGAGGGCAAGAGCUUCUUGCAACGGAUGAAGCUCGAUCUUGACACAGCUAGCAACAGCAGCAGCACCUGAGUACUGCCGCAAUUUCUUCUUCUCUAUCGCAUUGCUUUGCUUGCUAUAAACACAUGUCGUCAUUGCAUUGGGUCUGUCUCUGUAGUCAACAUUACAUUUUAUGCACGAGAUGAACAAUUAAUCAAUCUGCUUACCAGAUAAGUGAUUAUUUGGUGAAUAACAGAGUCAACAAGUUUCGA